rnacentral:rRNA from 1 species
UACGUAGGGUGCGAGCGUUGUCCGGAAUUACUGGGCGUAAAGCGUGCGCAGGCGGUUAUGUAAGACAGUUGUGAAAUCCCCGGGCUCAACCUGGGAAUUGCAUCUGUGACUGCAUAGCUAGAGUACGGUAGAAGGGGAUGGAAUUCCGCGUGUAGCAGUGAAAUGCGUAGAUAUGCGGAGGAACACCGAUGGCGAAGGCAAUCCCCUGGACCUGUACUGACGCUCAUGCACGAAAGCUAGGGGAGCAAACAGG